AGGCUAGUAGCUCUAAUCGGUUAGAGCAUCGGACUCCAAAUCCGGCGGAUGGGGGUUCGAAUCCCCCCUGGCCUGCCA
rnacentral:tRNA from 1 species